UGGGGAAUCUUGGACAAUGGGCGCAAGCCUGAUCCAGCCAUGCCGCGUGGAUGAUGAAGGCCUUAGGGUUGUAAAAUCCUUUCGCCGAGGACGAUAAUGACGGUACUCGGAGAAGAAGCUCCGGCUAACUUCGUGCCAGCAGCCGCGGUAAUACGAAGGGGGCUAGCGUUGUUCGGAUUUACUGGGCGUAAAGCGCGUGUAGGCGGGUCGUUAAGUUGGGGGUGAAAUCCCGAGGCUCAACCUCGGAACUGCCUUCAAAACUGGCGACCUGGACCUAAGUAGAGGCAAGUGGAAUUGCGAAGUGUAGAGGUGAAAUUCGUAGAUAUUCGCAGGAACACCAGUGGCGAAGGCGACUUGCUGGACUUAUGGUGACGCUGAGACGCGAAAGCGUGGGGAGCAAACAGGAUUAGAUACCCUAGUAGUCCCUGAGCGGGCUGGCAAGGCGCAU
rnacentral:rRNA from 1 species